AUGCGACGUCGUCGACACCGUCGCCAACAAGUAUGGCUGGGACCCCGUCACGGAGGUCCGGGUCUGGCCGCUCAACACCGAGGGCGCGCUCGUCGGCGCCGUUCAGCGGUACGAGUUCCGCGCCGGUGCGGGGGCGCCGCGGUCGCGCUGGCACGGGCCUCUGACGAGGCCGUCAACUGGAGCCGCCCCGACGCCCCCGCGGUGGAGGAGGUGGUCUGGCCCGACGGGGUCGACUUCGUCGCCGGCGACGGCGCCCUGGCGUUCGGCACCGGCGUCAGGGACAUGGACAUAGUAGGCCCGUUCGAGCUGGUGGUCUCCGAUGGCGCUGGCGGGGGCCUCGCAGAGCUCCAGCUGCCGUCGUCACAAAAUAAAAAAGUCACUCCUCUCCCCGGGUACCACCCCCACCUCGCCCAGAUCUGCCGAUUGGGUGUCCUGUCUCCGGCGUUCUUGAGCACCAUUGGGUCGAGGAAGGAGAAGCCAUCCUAUGGACUAGAACAGUUUGUGUGA
rnacentral:rRNA from 1 species